ACCUACGUCCCGGAGUAUUACUGUGCGUAAAAGGAGUCGUAAGAAAAAAGAAGUGCCCGAACUGCAGUGCCCUAUCUGUCACCAACUGUAUUCCUCAUCGUGUAACCGAUUCGCAAUUAUGGGCAACUAUGGCGUCGAGCUCCUAUUGGGUGUUGUAUCGUUGAUGGCUGGGUUGACUGCUGGUGUAGCGAUGUCUCCUUGGUAUGGAGGAAACUGAACCGCAACGCCGCCGCCUUCCUACACAACUAACGCAACAACCAGUUAAUACACCGAGGCCCACAAGUAGGCCUACUACUCCGAUCCCAGCUACUAUACCGAGGCUCCAGCUUAUUACACCAUCGAGGCCCACCUGUACUACACCACUAAGGCACCGGAGUAUUACACCGUAUGCUGCUCCAGCCUACUACACCGAGGCUCCCAAGCACUAUACCACCAGAGAACCGGAUUACUACGCGACUACGUAUGCUGCCCCAGCUUACUACACCGAGGCUCCCAAGUAUUUCUCUGCUCCAGCUUACUACACCGGGGUCCUGAAUACUACUCUGCACCCAGCUACAUACCCACAACUACACAGCGGUUGCUUCAUCGUACUACGUUGAUCCGAAUUACUACCCCGAGGUUCCAGUUUACUACACCAAAAUCUACACUGUCCCCCAGCUGCUACACCGAAGCUCCUGUUUACUGCAACACCAAGGCAUUCGAGCAUUAUCCCACAUUUACGCUUCUCCAACCUACUACACCGAAGCUCCGAAGUAUUACUUGCCCCGAGUUACAACACCACUACAAAAAGAUCAAAGACUUAUUCUAAAUCCAAAAUUUUUCUUUGUAAAUGGAAAUUGAUCCCUAAUGAAUACACUUUAAAUGCGAGUAA